UACGUAGGGUGCAAGCGUUAUCCGGAAUUAUUGGGCGUAAAGCGAUCACAGGUGGACAAGCAGGUCUGGUGUUAAAUACCCACGGCUCAACCGGGGUGCUGCAUCGGAAACCUCUUGACUAGAGGAAGGCAAAGGCAGGUGGAAUUUCCAUUGUAGGGGUUAAAUCCGUAGAUAAUGGAAGGAACACCAAAAGCGAAGGCAGCCUGCUGGGCCUUUCCUGACACUGCUUGAUCGAAAGCGUGGGGAGCAAAAGGG
rnacentral:rRNA from 1 species